rnacentral:lncRNA from 1 species
UUGACGUAAAUUUCAAAAGAAAGCAUUUCAAGAUAUGCGACAGGUUUAGAGUAACAUAGAAAACUACUAUUUCCUUGUUGAUUUUAGCCUACGUGUAACCCUCCCUCCGUAUAGUACUAUGUUCAAUGUAAGUCCGAUUUGGAAGGGAUCGGCAAGGAUUAAGAUGGCAUUUGUCAUUUUAAUGUCACGUGAAUUUCUUUUAAUGGUUGUUUAUAGUGUGCGAGUUUAUAUGCAGUUUCCAAAGCAACCUGCCAUUAUCAGCGUCGGCACUUAUGAAUAAAGUAAUCGUGUCUGCUUUUAAAAGGAAAUAAUGGAAACAUGGGUAGAAUCGUUUGGUUUCCAUUGGGUCCUACCCAUGACCUGGUUAUAGGUAGGCUUAGACAUAAUUAUUGGCUACAUUUGCAAUGUUUCACUUCGGUAACAAAUGGGCUAGGCCCAGUGUUUUCGUACCCCUGUCCACUUCGGAAAGAGUUGCAGCUUUCAUCAAAGAAACUGAUGAUCUAAAAGUUGAGACUGCAUGGAUGAGCUAGGCUGCUUUGUCUGGACGAAAAUGAACCCUCCAAGGCUCCAACAGCCUCAUCACACAGAAACUCAAGGAACCGGAAGCAGGAAGGAGGACCGACAGAUCAACGGAUGAUCUACUUGCUGGGCUCCCAAUUACUGAUUCUUGAAAGAAAUGAGGACCACUGACUGAUGAGGGCAUUGUCUUACUGAGAUGAGGAUGAGCCUGCCUCAAGCCAUCGUAAGCUAGGAGGACCGACGAUGGACUGGCCAUUUCUGAUUCUUGAGGACAUGAGGACCACCAAGCUUGGACGAGACUGGACAAUGACAAAGCUGCUGGACAAGGAUGCCCUCAUCGGAAACUUGAGUUUAAAAAACUAGCUUGCACAAUAUGAAAUGAUAAAUCGACUGCAUAAUGCAACGUCAUUAAUGUUAUACACUAAGGCAACAACACUAAAAUGAAAUGAAAAGUAAUUUUGAUUUCAUUGAAUUAUUUAUGCCUCUAAAAUAAUCUUAAACCGGAUACUGCAACAGACAGUUAACAAUGGACAAUAAUGGAAACUUGCUGAAAAAUUAUUGUAAGGGUAAUGAUUUGUCACUGGCUUUUUAGCAGUGACACGUCUGGGAGAA